ensembl:lncRNA
UAUUUGGAGAAGCAGGCGUUCCAGAGACCGAGUGCUUAGUAAACACGGAUGUUUCUUAGACUCUCACCAGGACGUGUGCUUGUGAGGGCACCAGGAAUGCUGGUCUCUACUGGGCUCCUGCUAUUGCUCAUCAGGAGACCUCCGGAGUGUAGAUGACUUCCUAGAAGGCCAGGAAAGUUCCUGAAAGGAAGCUCAACGACAACUGGUGGACAGAAGGGAAGUGGAGGCAAGAGGACCCGUUAGGAGGUUGUUGUAAUGACCCACGUGUGAGGGAUCAUUGCACUGGAGCAGUAGCUGUGGGCCAGAUGUGAGUGAUGCUUUACAGGAAGGACUCACGGGAUUUGAUGGCAGUUUGGCUGUGGGGAUGAGAGGAAUAUUAGAGCGAAAAAAAAAAAAAUGCUAACAGACGAAUAGCCCUCCUUCCCAGCAUAUUGAAAUAGAGUUGAAAAUAUUUUAAAUGAGAAACAUAUUUCAGGAC